GACGUAGGAUGCGAGCGUUAUCCGGAAUUAUUGGGCGUAAAGAGUUCGUAGACGAACUGUUAAGUAGGAUGUUAAAGACCAGGGCCUAACCCUGGGAAUGUGUCCUAAACUGGCAGAAUAGAGCAAUUCAGAGGCAAGUAGAAUUCUGUGUGUAGGGGUAAUAUCCGUAGAUAUACAGAGGAAUACCAAAAGCGAAGGCAGCUUGCUGGGAAUUUGCUGACGUUCAAGAACGAAAGCGUGGGGAGCAAAC
rnacentral:rRNA from 1 species